CGUACACUCCUGCGGGAGGCAGCAGUGGGGAAUUUUGGACAAUGGGCGAAAGCCUGAUCCAGCCAUGCCGCGUGCAGGAUGAAGGCCUUCGGGUUGUAAACUGCUUUUGUACGGAACGAAACGGCCUUUUCUAAUAAAGAGGGCUAAUGACGGUACCGUAAGAAUAAGCACCGGCUAACUACGUGCCAGCAGCCGCGGUAAUACGUAGGGUGCAAGCGUUAAUCGGAAUUACUGGGCGUAAAGCGUGCGCAGGCGGUUAUGUAAGACAGUUGUGAAAUCCCCGGGCUCAACCUGGGAACUGCAUCUGUGACUGCAUAGCUAGAGUACGGUAGAGGGGGAUGGAAUUCCGCGUGUAGCAGUGAAAUGCGUAGAUAUGCGGAGGAACACCGAUGGCGAAGGCAAUCCCCUGGACCUGUACUGACGCUCAUGCACGAAAGCGUGGGGAGCAAACAGGAUUAGAAACCCGAGUAGUCCCAUG
rnacentral:rRNA from 1 species